CCUACGGGAGGCAGCAGUGGGGAAUAUUGCACAAUGGGGGAAACCCUGAUGCAGCGACGCCGCGUGAAGGAAGAAGUAUUUCGGUAUGUAAACUUCUAUCAGCAGGGAAGAAAAUGACGGUACCUGACUAAGAAGCCCCGGCUAACUACGUGCCAGCAGCCGCGGUAAUACGUAGGGGGCAAGCGUUAUCCGGAUUUACUGGGUGUAAAGGGAGCGUAGGCGGUUUAGCAAGUCAGAAGUGAAAGCCAGGGGCUCAACGCCGGGACUGCUCUUGAAACUGUGGAACUAGAGUGCAGGAGAGGUAAGUGGAAUUCCUGGUGUAGCGGUGAAAUGCGUAGAGAUUAGGAGGAACACCAGUGGCGAAGGCGGCUUGCUGGACUGUAAAUGACGCUGAGGCUCGAAAGCAUGGGGAGCAAACAGGAUUAGAUACCCUGGUAGUC
rnacentral:rRNA from 1 species